UAGAGUUUGAUCCUGGCUCAGAACGAACGCUGGCGGCAUGCCUAACACAUGCAAGUCGAACGAAGGCUUCGGCCUUAGUGGCGCACGGGUGCGUAACGCGUGGGAAUCUGCCCUUGGGUUCGGAAUAACAGCGAGAAAUUGCUGCUAAUACCGGAUGAUGUCGCGAGACCAAAGAUUUAUCGCCUGAGGAUGAGCCCGCGUUGGAUUAGGUAGUUGGUGGGGUAAAGGCCUACCAAGCCGACGAUCCAUAGCUGGUCUGAGAGGAUGAUCAGCCACACUGGGACUGAGACACGGCCCAGACUCCUACGGGAGGCAGCAGUGGGGAAUAUUGGACAAUGGGCGAAAGCCUGAUCCAGCAAUGCCGCGUGAGUGAUGAAGGCCUUAGGGUUGUAAAGCUCUUUUACCCGGGAUGAUAAUGACAGUACCGGGAGAAUAAGCUCCGGCUAACUCCGUGCCAGCAGCCGCGGUAAU
rnacentral:rRNA from 1 species